rnacentral:lncRNA from 1 species
UCACUUCCCGAACAGAAUUAUUGCCGGAAUUCUUGGAUUGAAGGGAAGAAACGCUUUCCCGAACAGAAUUGUUGCCGGAAGCCUUGGAUUGAAGGGAAGAAACGCUUUCCCGAACAGAAUUGUUGCCGGAAGCCUUGGAUUGAAGGGAAGAAACGCUUCUUUGGGAGGAAGAUUUGAAGGUGGGGGGUUCAACGUUGAUGGAAUUGUCAGCGCUUUCCCGAACAGAAUUGUUGCUGGAAGCCUUGGAUUGAAGGGAAGAAGCGCUUCUUCGGGAGGAAGAAACGCUUCUUUGGGAGGAAGAUUUGAAGGUGGGGGGUUCAACGUUGAUGGAAUUGUCAGCGCUUUCCCGAACAGAAUUGUUGCCGGAAGCCUUGGAUUGAAGGGAAGAAACGCUUCUUUGGGAGGAAGACUUGAAGGUCGGGGGUUCAACGUUGAUGGAAUUGUCAGCUGCAGCGGGGUUUCUGGAAUCCAUGCCGGAAAACGAUCCAGUGCCACCGGAAGUGGGAUUUGCGAUAUCCGAAUAGACGGGUAGAGCAGGGAGGUGUUGGGUAUUGGGGGUUCUUGGAGAUGGGAUCAGAAGAGGUCGCUUCGAGGUCAUGAUCCGAACAAGAUUCAGAUCACAGAAGCCUCUCCGACCAGCAUUCAGUCAACAAUAUCCCCGAAACACCCAGAUACCGAAUCCGACCAAAGUCGCAAUACUUCACAAGAACAUCAACGAAAUCUCGAAAACAAGCGAUCCCAGUAAAGAAAGCGAGUGAAUAACCAGUAGAGUCAGCUAAACAUGUAAGAACUGUCCAUCCAAAUUAAUACAGAAAGUUAGGCGAGAGAGAGAGAGAGAGAGACUGUUUGGGUUGACCUUAGUGGGUUAACAUAUCAGAGGAAAGAGAGGAAUUGCAGACAACAACAAUGGCGGUCGAAGGAAAGGUGCGAUGGAAUUGGAAAUGGAGGAUAAAGAAAUGUAAAAGGUCAAAGGGAGAGGCAUUACGGAGUCUGAGGAGGAAGGAGGAAGCGGGCUAAUACAAGAAAUGUGGAAGAAGAACAAGUCGUAAGGGGUGGCGACAGCAAACAUAAUCAAAAUUCAAAUAAUGUUACAAAAGUCCUUGUCCUUCUUCCUCUUCUUCUUUUCUCCUACUCGUUUAUUUUCAAAUAUUCUAGAAGGAAGGAAGGGCUGCUCGUGAUUGGAAUCCAUUUAGAUUAAUUAAGCUGGAGAUUAGCAUUAAAUUAUUGUAUUUAACUGAAUUAGAAAUGUGCGUGGGGUGUGGGUGUCGGAGUUUGACCGCAGGAUCUUUUUAUUUCCGUUUUGUCUCCGUUCCUACAGCUACAGCUCCUGUAAUAAAUAUGUUAAAUUUCUCAAUUUUUUCUUAAACUGGAAAAAAAACAAGCAGCUAUAUCAUAUAUGAUAUAUGUUAUAAAUCCUGGACAACUAAUAUCACAGAGAUUUUUUUAAUAAAAGUGAUAUGUUUAUUUUAAAUAAAAAUGAAGAAAAGAGUGGACUUGCUUAUUGAGAGACUUAGUCUAUUUUCUCACCCGCUUAGUGUUGAUAAUAUAGCUUGUUCAAAAGAGAAAAAAAAAAAAACUACGCUCUAAAGUUCAUAUUACAUUUGUACAACAUCUCUAAUAAAAAUGUGGUAUAAAUGUAAUAUGAAAAAUGUAGUAAGUACAUCUGUGAACACGGAAAUUUCCUGAAACGAAAGAGACAAGAACAACGUGCACAAACAAAUAUUUGUAUUUGAUGAUUUUGGGUUACAAU